CAGCUCGUGUCGUGAGAUGUUGGGUUAAGUCCCGCAACGAGCGCAACCCUUAUCUUUAGUUGCCAGCAUUCAGUUGGGCACUCUAGAGAGACUGCCGUCGACAAGACGGAGGAAGGCGGGGAUGACGUCAAAUCAUCAUGCCCCUUAUGACCUGGGCUACACACGUGCUACAAUGGUUGGUACAACGGGACGCUACCUCGCGAGAGGACGCCAAUCUCUUAAAACCAAUCUCAGUUCGGA
rnacentral:rRNA from 1 species